CCAGGAUCGCGCCCUGGGCCAAAGGCAGGCACUAAACCGCUGCGCCACCCAGGGAUCCCCUGCAUAAAAGCUUUAAAAAGACAUUUCCAAGAAAGAUAUACAAAGGGUCUUUAAACACAUGAAAAGACAAUAUCAUAAGUCAUCAGGGAAAUGCAAAUCAAAACCACAAAGAGCUACCACUUCAUACCUACUAGGAUGCUUAUAAUAAAAAGAAUAGACAAUUAUAAGUGUUGAUAAAGGUAUAGAGAAAUUGGAAUCCUCAUACAUUGUUGAUGGAAUUGUAAAAAUACUGCAGACACUUGAAACAAUUUGGUAGUUCCUCAAAAUGUUACCAAAAAACAGAGUUCCCAUAUGACCCAGAAAUUCCACUUUUAAGUAUGUACCCAAGAGAAUUGAAAAUAUCUAUGUCCAACAGAGAUGUAUACACAAAUGUGCAUAGCAUCAUUCACAAUAGCAAACAAUUAGUAACGACCCAAAUGUGUAUCAAUGAUGAAUGGAUAAACAAAAUGUGGUGUACCCAUACACAGGAAUAUGAUGGGCGGCGGGAAUGAGAUACUGAUAUAUGCUACAACAUGAAUGAGUCCUAAAAACAUUAUGCUAAGUGAAUUCCACAGAAAAGGUCAUCUAUUAUAUCCUUCCAUUUAUGUAAAAUAUCUCAAAUAGACAAAUCUAUAGAAACAAAUUAGACUAGUAAUUGCCUAGUAGUAGUAGAGACUAGGGGAAGGAGAGAAUAAAGAGUGACCACUGAUGGGUAUUCUCAUUUCUUUUUUGGAGUAAUGAAAAUAUUCCAAAAUUGAUGUGAAUAUCCUGAAACCAGUGGGAGCCAUUGUCUUUAGUGAUGCUGAUUGAGUAAUUCUGCAAGUACUAAAAAUUAUGUAAUUGUAUACUUUCAAGGGCCAAAUUAUUUGGUGUAUGAUUUAUACUAAAGUUGUUUUUUAAGAAAUGUAUUUAGCAUAGUUAACAAAGUAGGUACCAUUUUUCCAAAUAUUCAUCACUUCUGUCUGGGGGUGUGUGAAUCAUGGGACUUAUGUUAGCCAGUGAAAUAUAGCUGGAAGUGAUGUAUAUCACUUCCUGGCAAAAGUGUUGGGGGCUAGCAUGUCAUCACCAUAUCGCUUUCCCCUCUGCCAUAACAAUCAGCAUUAUUCAAAGUAGAAGUGGCUUUCCCAGCCUUGGUCCUAGGGUGAAAACAAUGGAGAGCAGAGCAGUGGGCAACUUUUGAUGGAUAUGUAGUGUGAGUGAGAAAAGAUACUGUAAGCCACUGAAAUUUUAGGAUACACGAACAAAAAGAACCACAGGAACAAGUGGUAUUAUUACCACCACUGGCAGAAAUAGGAAAUAGGAAAACUGUCAGGCCAACAUGUCAAACAACACAUUUAGGUGGAAAUACCAUGUAGACAGUGGUAAAACAGAACUGAAGUACAAUGAGAAGUCAAGGCAGGAGGAGGUACAUUCAAAUCAAAACUAUUUUCUGAGAGGCCCGUAUUGAUCGGUUCUGGGGAUCCAGAGAUGCAAUACACAAUCUCUUUUAGCUAACAUUGAUUGAGCACUCACUCACUCACUAUGUGCCUAGCCGUUUUGGGUUUUGGCACACGUGUGGUCUCCAGUCUCACCAAAGAGCAGUUUGGUGAUGAACAAGAAGCUUCUCCAAUUUUGACCCACAAAUAGACAAUUCUAUUUUAGAGAAAUUAGUGAAGCAAAUGAAAGGCUGUGGGAUACAUUUAAAAUAGCUACAGAUUGUUAAGGGCCAUGAGCCAGAGCAAACAGCACACCUUCCCACACGCCCCACUUGGCCUGUGAUUACUCAAAUCCCAGCAUUGGCCGGGGCUGCUGCCCGUCGGGAACAUCCCUGCAAAGAGCACCACUGGAAGGUAGUUUGCCAGGAAAGGGAAGAGCUAGACUGUAUCUGGGCAUGACAUUUUCCCUUGUAUUUAUAAAUUUGUGCUUAACAUCACGACUCCCCAGUUUGGUUUUCCAUCUCCUCCGCUGGCAGUUUGCUUGUGUAGCACCGGCAGGAGCUCGGCCAGGCUGAGGAAGGGCUGGGAGAGGGACGUGGCUCAGGGGCUGCUUCAGGCUGAGCAGCCCAAGCGGGACCAGAAGCUCAUCUGGUAGUAAGGAGGCUGUAGGGAUGUACAUUUAUUCAUGCACCAAAGGUUUUAAACAACUUGUAAAUGGAGUGUGGUUGGUCCAAUCCUGAGCUCUGGUGAAGGGCACAGGGGGGCAGAAGCUGGAUCUCGAGACGUAAAAACAUAAGUGACAAUGUGGGACAGUGGGGAAUAGAUGCUAUCUCUUUUACUCACAGGAAGAGUCGGCCUGGUGGAGGUUAG
rnacentral:lncRNA from 1 species